AGGACAGAACUUGUAGAAAUUGUGAAAUUUCGAGAUAUAAGUUGGGUGACCCUCAGUCAGCCUCUUCCAUUGAAAACGUACCUCGGGCAUAUUACUUAACUUCCUGGUCAGUAGAGCCUACUUACGUUCUUGGCAUGGGGUAAAUGAAAACUGCACAGCUCUUGGCAUAUGAUAGCUACUCAGGUUAAAAAUAAGUCAAAGCAAUUCUCUACAUAGCAUCUAUGAAAAUUUUUGUCAGACAAUUUAGCUGAACUUGGGCUGUGCAUGGAAGAGAGGGGAUAGAAAUGUAGCCAGAAAUCUGCAAUGUCUAUGAUGCUUGCACC
rnacentral:lncRNA from 1 species